GCAUUCUAUAAAGCAACAGAGCAGGACAACUAUAUCACUAUAGAAAAUGAACUCCAGGAUUAUCUGUAUCCUUAUUCUCACGGGCUGUCUUGUUUUGUUGUGUUUGGUUUCCCUGUUAAUUUGGUCACAUUACUGUGAAGAAUGCAUGUGCACAUUACAAGCUGAGAUUAAAUUCAACCUCAUUGUUCAAACGAUGAAGAUUCAACUUCAAAGCAAUAAAAGUGAAAUAAUAGAAACUAUAAAAAACAUUCAAUUUAUUCUACCAACAGAAUACAGUCAAAGAGAAACUACAAUAUAUGAAAGAAGAAUACUUUCCUACAUUUUUUCAGUGGACACAUUAACAUUUGAUUCACAGGUUAUCCAAAAACUCUUUCAGCAGAUUUUUUCACAUCUAAAAAAUGAACUGGGCCUGUCGUCCACACUGCUGGUGUUGGCAAGUGAAACAUCUGUUUUCUGCCUACACCUUUAAGAGAUAUUGAUUUUAUUUUUAUCACAAUUACCUCAAAGAAAUCUGAAAAUCACGAUGACAAAAUGAUGCCCAGCAAAAAAAAACUUAAAUACUAGACUGAACUGGCAUAUUUUGAAAAGGGAUACUAUUGCGGUGCCUUAUUUAAUAAACAUCUCCAAGUAGUAUUUAAAAGAAUAGAAAGGAGAACAUUGAAUGCUGUCCAGAGGAUCCAGGCAUAUUUACGGACUAAGGAAUGACUUAAUUUAAGGGUUAUUGAAUUUUUGAGACACAAAUUUAGAUGAAGCUGAAGUGACCCAAACAAUACAGUACAUGAAUGCAAUAUAGAUGAUUAGAUAAUAGGUUCACAGGCUGCAAUGUCAAAUGCAUUAAAAAGUAUGUAGGUAAAACCAGAGGGCAUAUUUACAGUAUUCAGAAUAGUAGACAUUUAUUUUAUUAUGCAGUUGAUAAGAUUAGUUUCCACUGGUGGGGAGGUGAUUUUGAGAAUGAGAUAUUGAGGUGAUCUAUUUAAGUAAGAAUACAAGGCCAGAUUACAAGUGGAGCGUUAUUUAGCGGUCCUGCUUGCGCACUAACUCUGCUAGAAGUAAGCUUUUGUGCACAUCGGGUAGUGCUCGUAUUAAGUGCUCGUUGAAAUUGAAAUGUUUUCGCACAAGCACUUACCCAAUGUGCACAAAAAGUCGAAGCUAGAAUAUCCCGCAUAUUCAUGUAUCCCCCAUAACGCGCCACUCAUAAUCUGGCCAACAAUGGUUUAAAAUGUAAUGUUAAGUGGAACUAUAAACAAAAAAAAACUUUUUUUUAAAUAUAUACAUUUUAAUUGUUAAAAUGCAUACACAGUGGUUUCGUUUUAAUUACAUUUAUUAAUUUAUACUGUUAAAUAUUCCUUUGCAUACAGUGCAAUUAUGUAUAUAAAAAUGUACAAAUACAUGUUUUUUUUUGCUCUUAACUUUCUUAAUCAGGUAAUUUUGCAUAUCGCAUUCAUAUAUCCUUAUUGUGUCACCAAAUAUUUUUAUGGUUUAAGGUUUAUCAGUGGUAUAGAUUAUUCUUAUAAUUAUUAAUAUUUGUAUUAUCAGUUAUUUGUAGAGCUCCAACACAUUCUGCAUAUACAAUGUUUAGAGUAAUAGGUAUUAUAUAAAGACUUUAUGAAUGGACUUAUCCAGCAGUCGCUUGAUUUUGAUUGGAUAAUAUCACUUAUAGUUGCUCCUGGAUUGUAGGAGUUUAGCCCAUAGUUGAGUUUGGUAUGUAGGAUUAUGAAUGGAUGUUUUCACCAAAAAUAUUAAACUAGUGCUUCACGUCUCUUCGAAUUUUACAAUUUUCACCUAUUUAUGUACCAUGGUGUAUGGAAGUCUUUUCCAUAUUUUUGCUGGCUCCUAAAUUUGAAUAAAAAUUUGUCAAGCUU